CCCGAGUAGCUCAGUGGUAAAGUCUCUGACUGUAAAGCUGAGUAACACGGGAUCGAAUCCGUCAGGGAGCA
rnacentral:tRNA from 1 species